CUCCCUAGCAGUGGGCAAAGAGACACCUUGGUGAGUGGUGGUGUUCUUAUAUCAGUCAGGGGCAAAGCAAAAAGUAGCCCUUUGUUCACCCUGGCUUGAUGCCUGAUUUGGUGGCCAAAGCUGUUUCAUGCCUACGGUACAUUU
rnacentral:snoRNA from 1 species